GAAGAAGAUGACGAAGAAGAAGCAGCUGUUUAUCUUCAGUCAGCACCGUUCAUAUGUACCUCAAUAGUCAGCACAGGAUUUACGUGGUUUUCAGCUUGAAGUGGCAAUGAGUCAGUUUCCCUUCUGCGUAAUAGCCUAGAAACGCUAAAGAUUCGGUGUUGCACGUCUGGACCAAAGGCUCCGGUUGAUUUCGUCGCUGUUCUGGUGCUUUACGGUGCAGAAGGAUAUGGUUUUCUCAUCGUCCCAGCAAGUGGUUGUCGCAUUUACGGCGGUGUUGUUUGCGUUUGUGGUGUUCCCUAGAAUGUUCGGCGUAGGAUCCGGAGCGAAGGAAACAAGAGGUUUUGAUGCUCGCUACAACAGAAAAGCGGGACCAGGACCAGGACCAGGUGCAGUGAGAGGGCAGCCGGUCAACAAGAACACGCCUGGCUCCAUGAACAAAGCUCAGACCCUGGAGAACAUGCAGCAGAUGAAGGUGAUGAUGGAGCAGGAGAUGAAGGGUGACAAAUACAAAACCAACAGCAACAAGGGCUACGUGUUCACGCUGAUGCCGCUCUACGCCAUCGGAGUCGGCCUCUUUGCAGCGUACAAAUUUCUGAAGAUCAAGUCUGCAGAUGACUCCCAAGCCCAAAAGAAUAAGGAUGCCAAAGGUCCCAAGAAGUCGGAGGAGACAGAGAAUCAGCUUACAGAGCUGGAGCAGCGGCUAGCGCAAACAGAGAAGAUGCUCAACUCCAUUCUCACCCAACUUGACCCAUUGACAAGUUGAGGUCUGUCCUCAGUGACCCUGCUCUCUCCUGGCCAUUUCGCUCCUCUCCAGUGUCAAGUCUGUGGCCCAGGAACAGAAGAACGAGAUCAUGUCCCAACUCCAGUCCAUCCGCCACCUGAUGAAGAAGAGAGGCAUGGACUGCCCACCCCUUAACAUUGAAGAGCCGCAGUGCGAGAGGAACCUGGAUGACCUCAUCGAGUCUCUGGCAGCCCACAGCGACACCUCGCCAGAGGUGGUCGCUCCUGCGGAAGACGAUCAAAGUGGUGUCGUGAAAGAGGAGGAGCCAGUCCACCACCAGCAGCACCCUGAAUCCAAGGAUGAGUACUCAGCGACCGAUGCUGAGGAGGACAUGCCCUCCUUGGACGAUUCUUGUGAGACAAACAUUGAGGACAUGGGCCUUGCCCAGAGCAUUCCAGAAGAAAUGCCUACAACUGGGCUCAGACGACGUAACAGGCUGGAAUGAACAGGAAAAAAAGGGGGUUGUUUUAAACUGUACAUGAAUAAAGCCAUACAUGUAUUUUCUCAUUCUUAAUGGCACUACUGCAGUCUGUUCAAUAAUGCUCUUGCUUUUGGCUCGCAGUUGAAUAAGAAAGGGCAGCUAUCAAUGUGAAAGGAUUUUGUCCAAGGUUGUGUGUGAUAAAGGUAUUUUUCUGUGCCAUCCCUUAAAGCAUAGCAGAUCCCUGGCUAGGCCUAUGUGUAGGGUUAGGGCUUACUCCUGACAAAUAAAAUCCCCAGAAGCCUAACUCCAUAUAACCUUUGACUUAGGUCUGGAGGUUUUCCUUGUCAGACCCCAAGUAUGAGGCCUGAGUUUUCCAUCCUUGAACCAAACGUUAGUAUGUAAGGCACCUGUAAAUGUGUUUUCAUCACGUGACUGCUGCUUGGAAACCCUGUACAUCUCAUUAUAUGCUACCAUCUUUUAGAAAGGGUCAUUACGGCCCUAAAUAUAAAGACUCCAAAGUGUGUGUUGUUAUGCAAUCUUGCAACUGCAAUCCGUACGUCAUAGAAUAGUCAAAAUAAUACAAAAUGUCAAACAUAGUUAACUAUAAAUACCUACAUUUAGUUUUUUUCUACUACGUACUCGAGUCUACCAGAUACAAGUGCACGCUUGUGACGUUUGGCUUGUGGUAUGAUUUGCCUGUUUUCAGACAUCUUAUGCAUGUGUUUUUUUUUCUGCAACUGAUCUUGAAUGUCCUGGUGAAUACAACUGCAUGAGUUAUCUUACUAGAGGGAGAUGCAGGACAAUCAUGAAUGUAUUGAUGAUGUAGUCUAAAUCAGGGCUCUCCAACCCUGUUCCUGGAGAGUUACUGUCCACUGGGUUUCUAUCCAACCCUGUUCCCGGAGAGCUACUGUCCACUGGGUUUCUCUCCAACUCUGUUCCUGGAGAGCUACUGUCCACUGGGUUUCUCUCCAACUCUGUUCCUGGAGAGCUACUGUCCAGUGGGUUUCUCUCCAACCCUGUUCCUGAAGAGCUACUGUCCACUGGGUUUCUCUCCAACUCUGUUCCUGGAGAGCUACUGUCCAGUGGGUUUCUCUUCAACCCUGUUCCUGAAGAGCUACUCUCCAGUAGGUUUCUCUCCAACCCUGUUCCUGAAGAGCUACUGUCCACUGGGUUUCUCUCCAACCCUGUUCCUGAAGAGCUACUGUCCAGUGGGUUUCUCUCCAAACCUGUUCCUGGAGAGCUACUGUCCACUGGGCUUCUCUCCAACCCUGUUCCUGGAGAGCUACUGUCCAGUGGGUUUCUCUCCAACCCUGUUCCUGGAGAGCUACUGUCCACUGGGUUUCUCUCCAACCCUGUUCCUGGAGAGCUACUCUCCACUGGGUUUCUAUCCAACCCUGUUCCCGGAGAGCUACUGUCCACUGGGUUUCUCUCCAACCCUGUUCCCGGAGAGCUACUGUCCACUGGGUAUCUCUCCAACCCUGUUCCUGGAGUGCUACUCUCCAGUGGGUUUCUCUCCAACCCUGUUCCUGAAGAGCUACUGUCCAGUGGGUUUCUCUCCAACCCUGUUCCUGGAGAGCUACUGUCCACUGGGCUUCUCUCCAACCCUGUUCCUGGAGAGCUACUGUCCAGUGGGUUUCUCUCCAACCCUGUUCCUGGAGAGCUACUGUCCAGCGGGUUUCUCUCCAACCCUGUUCCUGAAGAGCUACUGUCCACUGGGUAUCUCUCCAACCCUGUUCCUGGAGUGCUACUCUCCAGUGGGUUUCUCUCCAACCCUGUUCCUGGAGAGCUACUCUCCAGUGGGUUUCUCUCCAACCCUGUUCCUGGAGAGCUACUCUCCAGUGGGUUUCUCUCCAACCCUGUUCCUGGAGAGCUACUCUCCAGUAGGUUUCUCUGCAACCCUGUUCCUGGAGAGCUACUCUCCAGUGGGUUUCUCUGCAACCCUGUUCCUGGAGAGCUACUGUCCAGUAGGUUUCUCUGCAACCCUAAUCUAGUACACGUGAUCCUAAUAAUUAUCUGGUUGAUAAGGGGAAUCCAGUUAGGUUCCCACAAACCCGUUUUAACUAUCGGAGGGUAGCUCUUCAGGAGCAGAGUUGGAGAACCCUGGUCUGAAUUAAUUUGCGUUCUAUUCGGGCUUUUGUCCAGUUUUGUAGUUCAGAUUAAGCACUAUAUGUGUAUUUAGCCAACACAACCAUGCAAUUUGCUCUUUUAUAUUUCUUUCCUUUUAAGUAUUUUAUGUUAUCUAUUGUUGACUGUAGUUAACACAGAAGUUAGCCUCUGGUUAGCACCAACCCAGUGAAACUACAGGAUAGAACAGAAAUCAAAUAAUCUCAUUGGUUUCAUCUUAAAUUGCACCCUACCUAUUCCCUAUAUAGUAGGCCUCUGGUCAAAAGUAGUGCACUAUGUAGGGAAUAUGGUGACGUGAACUGUGUAGUAAUACUGUACCAGCAAUCAAAUAAUCAUGUCUGUGUAGAAAUGCUCUACCACAAGACUUUUCAAAACACUGACAAAUAUCUUGUCUUGUGAUUAACUAUAGCUUUGGAGCAAAUAUUUAGCGAACACACAAUUCAUAUAUCUUGAAACUAUAGAAACACUGCGAUGUUUGUCUCCUGUUUGAGAGGUCAUUUGUCGACUAACUCUAUUUAUUUUGUAUAGCUGUGCUCUUGGGUAUGCAUAACUGAGGAACCUUGAAAGAUGGGAGAAAAUGUUCCACUCCUUACUAGAAAAUAAAGGUGCUAUGUGGCAA
rnacentral:lncRNA from 1 species